AGCUAGCAUGGCAUAGUGGUUUGAGUGUUGGGCUAUUACUCUGUCAACCAGGGUUCAAUUCCCAGUUUGGCUA